UUGAUCUGUUAACAUCUUUAUACAUUUAUUUGUCUCUUUUAGUAAUCAUUAUGUUGCAACAUUUCAGAUCCUGAACAAUUGCUUCGUUGAUGAUUUGUGCUCCUGUCUGGAUAAGACCUACUCAUAAAAGAUCCUGGCUGGGAUAGCCUUUGUCAGCUCCCUCCUUAUUGAUGUGUUAUAGCUGGACUGCGGAGCUUGCAUGUGAUGGAGGCAGAAUUUGUCUUACUACUACUACUCCCCUCUCUCAAAGUUCCUU